GUGAUAUCUUUACAUUUCACAUGAAGGACUGUGAUACAAACAUAGUCAUAUUUGUAUCUGCAAUUUAAAGAAGAUGCAAGCAGAAUCUGAUCUUGAGGAUACUUCGCUUAUGUUGUAGACUGCCUCAUCUCCUUGCUCAUUUCAGCGCUGCUGAGCACAGGUUGCUAAGGACAGUAUCCAAGUGGCUUCUAAGGAUCUCCAAGGAGGGUCAGAAUAGUUUCAAGGGGAGCAAGAAAAAACACAAAAGCAUUUGGCCACUGCUGAAGACCUAUGAGUGUUCUGAGUGGAAACUUCAACUGGACCCUGAAGAGUUCCAUCUCUCUCACAAAUGGAAACUGCAACUGCUAAAUGCAAUACCAGACAAAGCUUCAAUUCUAUGACAAGAUAUUAAAUGUUCCUCUUUAUUUUAGACUCUCUAAGGGAUGACUAUUUAAAGUUACC
rnacentral:lncRNA from 1 species